GGGAUAAGAAAUUUCCUAAUAUGAAAUGCAAAAGUGUUGGGAUUAGAAAUUUGCCACCCAAAAUCGUUGAUUGGUCGGACAACCUCCCCACACUUAAAAGUUUGCACCGUCCUCGGUGCACUCAAAGAUGAGCAAGGGGGUACGGCGACUCUCUGGGUUGCCACCUUCAGCUGGUAGAUCAACCGGUUGCUGCGUGU